rnacentral:lncRNA from 1 species
GGAAAUCAGAAUGCAAGUGCUAUUCCCGCUCCGUGUUCUACCUUUAUCCCAAAUUCAAUGCCUGCCAAUCCCACAUUUGAACAGCAAUCAACCCAAUAUGCUUCCAGUUCUCACGUGUCAAAUAAAAAAAGACUCCAAAAGCAGGUCUUCAGAUCAUCAAAGGGGCAGCAUUGCAGAGCAAGACGGAGAUUCAAAUGACGUGGCAACAGACCUUGAACUUAAGAUGCCUGGAACAUCAUCACAGCAGGUUUUUUUUUAUAUUCUGAACCAGAGCUAGAUCUACUCUGUAAAUUGGCACAAUAUGCAUAACAGUAAAUAUUAUGCAAGACUUGAUGUCCAGAGAAAAGAAGGGCAAGCAGCCCCAGAGGAAGGAGAUAAGUAUUUUACUGAUGGGAGCUCGUCGAGCAAGCUUUCCUCAUAUCAGGCUUUUAGUGACAACCCAAAGUCCGGUAGAUGAAGUGUUAAAUCCAGAAAAUCUUAAUGCCACAAUUUUCUUUUCCUGUUACAGGCCUAACUCAUUUUCUAGUCCUUUCGUAGUUUGUACCCUAGUUAACCUAACUCAUUUUCUAGUCCUUUCGUAGUUUGUACCCUAGUUAACCGAGGUUGGUCAGUUGUAUAUUAUGUUGCGUUUGCUUUAACUUCCAGGGAAUUUUUUUAGUUUAUACAGAUUUCAGAGCAUAUGCCUGAAACUUGAACAAUGAAGGGCACAUUCAUUACUUUUUUAAGGGUUUAGCUCCAGCAACCAUGACCUAAUUGAUUGGAGCUCAGAUUUUGCAUCCAAACUAUCUUGCGACUUUUGACCUGCCAUGAGGCAUAAGCCAGGUUGUACUCCUGCAUGAGUCAUUCGCAUCGUGUAUUUGUAAUGCCCUGGUGGUUAUUAGAUAAAAAAGUCUCCAGAGAUGCUGUCGUCAAG